CUACAGAAUAAAAUUAUAGUAGUGCCAAAGAAAAUUAUUUUUAUGACUUAAAUCUUAAAAAACCCAGAGGCCGUACACCUUUAAUCGAGCCAAUUCAGAAUA